rnacentral:rRNA from 1 species
UGCCUAACACAUGCAAGUCGCACGAGAAAAGGGUAGCAAUACUCUGAGUAAAGUGGCGCACGGGUGAGUAAUACGUAGGUAACCUACCUCUAAGACCGGGAUAACUUGUCGAAAGACGGGCUAAUACCAGAUAAGACCACAGUCCUUGAGGGGACCGGGGUCAAAGGUGGCCUCUACAUGUAAGCGAUCACUUAGAGAUGGGCCUGCGCACCAUUAGCUAGUUGGUGGGGUAACGGCCCACCAAGGCAAAGAUGGUUAGCUGGUUUGAGAGGAUGAUCAGCCACCCUGGGACUUAGACACGGCCCAGACUCCUACGGGAGGCAGCAGUGGGGAAUCUUGCGCAAUGGGCGAAAACCUGACGCAGCAACGCCGCGUGGGUGAUGAAGGCCUUCGGGUCGUAAAGGCC